rnacentral:rRNA from 1 species
UACAGAGGUCUCAAGCGUUGUUCGGAUUCAUUGGGCGUAAAGGGUGCGUAGGCGGCGCGGUAAGUCGGGUGUGAAAUCUCGGAGCUUAACUCCGAAACUGCAUUCGAUACUGCCGUGCUUGAGGACUGGAGAGGAGACUGGAAUACUUGGUGUAGCAGUGAAAUGCGUAGAUAUCAAGUGGAACACCAGUGGCGAAGGCGAGUCUCUGGACAUUUCCUGACGCUGAGGCACGAAAGCCAGGGGAGCAAACGGG